rnacentral:rRNA from 1 species
CAGUCCCUAGGGACGCAGCAGUGGGGAAUAUUGCACAAUGGGGGAAACCCUGAUGCAGCGACGCCGCGUGAGGGAAGAAGGUUUUCGGAUUGUAAAACUCUGUCCUUGGUGACGAAAGAAGACGGUAGCCAAGGAGGAAGCCACGGCUAACUACGUGCCAGCAGCCGCGGUAAUACGUAGGUGGCAAGCGUUGUCCGGAAUUACUGGGUGUAAAGGGAGCGUAGGCGGGAGGAUAAGUUGGACGUAUAAACUAUCGGCUCAACCGGAAGAGGCGUUCAAAACUGUCCUUCUUGAGUGAAGUAGAG